rnacentral:rRNA from 1 species
GACGAACGCUGGCGGCGUGCUUAACACAUGCAAGUCGAACGGAAAGGCCCUGCUCUUGUGGGGUGCUCGAGUGGCGAACGGGUGAGUAACACGCGUGUAACCUGCACCUGUCUUUGGGAUAUAUUUUGGAAACUGGGGCUAAUAUCGGAUAGGAGCUCCUGCUGCAUGGUGGGGGUUGGAAAGUUUCGGUGGUUGGGGAUGGUCUCGCGGCUUAUCCGCUUGUUGGUGGGGUAGUGGCUUACCAAGUGUUUGACGGGUAGCCGGCCUGAGAGGGCGACCGGCGACAUGACUACUGAGAGACGGCGCAGUCGCCAACGGGCCGCAGCAGGGGGGAGUAUUGCACAAUAGGGGGAAGCCUGAUACAGCAGCGCCGCGAGCGGGAUAACGUCCUUCGGGUGGUAAACCACUGUCGCCGGAGACGAAGCGUUAUUGACGGUAAUGAGUAAAAAAGCACCGGCUAACUACGUG